UCAAAGGCUUUGCAUCACUCCUGGUUACCCCGUCACCGGCAACACCUGGGGUUUGAUUCGCACCAGGGGGUGGAUGGUUUGCGGGGAAACUACCCAGGCCUGACUCCAGCAGAGCCUUCCAGGAAAGUGAGGUGAAGGGCGGGGAAGGGGCAGCCCCUGCGCCCGCUUUCCUGGGCCCCGAGGGCCACCCGGGGCGCUCUCAGGCCCCAAGGAGCUACGGCGGCGGGUCGCGGAGCUCGGGCGACCCCUGGCGGUCGCGCUCGAUGGCACUUUCCUCUCAUCAUGGUGCGCAGCGCCCUCUGCCGGCCGACGGCUGUACUUUCUUCCCCUGUCUUGGUUCGGGAUGAGGACUUGAUGUUAAUAUCCCUGUUUUACAGUUGAGAAAACUGAGACACAGAGGAGUAAUCUGUCUACGGUGAAAUUGGAAGAGGACACGGAGACCCGAGCGUGUGGAAGAGCGUUGUCCGCGGCCACCCAGCAAUGGACGUCCUUAGCACUUACCGAUCACCUACAAUUUGCUGGGUGCUGGGAACACGAAGAGAAAAAAAGCAGCCUCUGCCACUGGCAAACAUGUUGCUUCAGCGAGGUUUGGCUCGAGAGCAUGGCAGGUUGGAGACCAGAAAGUUGUUUCAUUUAUGUGGUUUAAUUUCUGAGCGCACGAGCCCUUCUCUAACCCUGAGCCUGUCUCGUUUUUCUUCUCCUCAAGGCUCCCCGGGGAGCUUUCUGCAGCCAGCGCCUACAUUUUCCCAGCGCGGCUGCCUUGUGAAAGCAAGCGCGCUCCAGGCGGAGGCCUGCCCGCAGCCGCCACCCGCCCUGUUGGGCACCCAGCUCCUUUCUCAGCCAAACCUGUUGCUUCUAAGCCAAGGAGCCCAGGGUGAGCUGAGGCUUCAUCACGACCUUGUCCUAGUGGAGACCCCCGCCUGGAAACUGGCUGCGAGCAGGGGCUGGGGAAACCCGGGCAGGGGAGGGGCUGGCCCAGAGAGGGCCCAGAGAGCUCUGGAACCCAGCACCCUCUCGGGGUUGCUAUGGUGACCCGCGCUCCGGGCGGACCUCAUCUCCUAUUUCCCCUGCGUCUG